rnacentral:rRNA from 1 species
UACGUAGGGUGCAAGCGUUAAUCGGAAUUACUGGGCGUAAAGCGUGCGUAGGUGGUGAGUUAAGUCUGUCGUGAAAGCCCCGGGCUCAACCUGGGAAUGGCGAUGGAUACUGGCUCGCUAGAGUGCGGUAGAGGAGAGUGGAAUUCCCGGUGUAGCAGUGAAAUGCGUAGAGAUCGGGAGGAACAUCAGUUGCGAAGGCGGCUCUCUGGACCAGCACUGACGCUCAUGUGCGAAAGCGUGGGGAGCAAACAGG